GAAAACUUACCAGUUUGAGCUUUGGAGCAUUUCAUUGGAUUAGCAGAUGGGAUCCCUGCCCUCUAUUAUCUGCCAGAAGAUGACACAGCUGGAGGUCCCUCCUCAGGAGCCGAGCAGAUGUUGGAACCAAGCUCUUGGGACCCCAGUCCCCAGAACCAGGAGUUCAGAAAUGAUUGAGAAACGAACACAGAGGUCAGAUGAAGCUUACGUCAUGUUGGCCACCUUGAAAAGGUUUGGAGAAGGCUGCUGAUCCCCCGAAUCAACCCUGUCACCCAGGUCCUGGCAUCCCAGGCACCUGCAGAAGCAGCGCUCUCACCAUCAUCCAAGGCAGACCCAACAACACCCUCUCUGCAGUCGGGAAGAUCUAAA